ACAAUGGAGAGUUUGAUCCUGGCUCAGGAUGAACGCUAGCGGCAGGCUUAACACAUGCAAGUCGAGGGGCAGCACGAUGUAGCAAUACAUGGGUGGCGACCGGCGCACGGGUGCGUAACACGUAUGGAAUCUGCCCUGUACUGGGGAAUAGCCCUCCGAAAGGAGGAUUAAUACCCCGUAAUAGCUUGAGUGGCAUCACUCGGGUUUGAAAGCUCCGGCGGUACAGGAUGACCAUGCGCACGAUUAGCUAGUAGGUGAGGUAACGGCUCACCUAGGCUACGAUCGUUAGGGGGCCUGAGAGGGUUAUCCCCCACACUGGUACUGAGACACGGACCAGACUCCUACGGGAGGCAGCAGUGAGGAAUAUUGCGCAAUGGAGGAAACUCUGACGCAGCCAUGCCGCGUGCAGGAAGACGGCCCUACGGG
rnacentral:rRNA from 1 species